rnacentral:rRNA from 1 species
ACUAUGCUUGGCCCUAAACCUCAGUAGUUAAACAACAAAACUACUCGCCAGAAUACUACGAGCAAUAGCUUAAAACUCAAAGGACUUGACGGUGCUUUACAUCCCCCUAGAGGAGCCUGUUCCAUAAUCGAUAAACCCCGAUCCACCUCACCCUCUCUUGCUUAGCCUAUAUACCGCCAUCUUCAGCAAACCCUGAUAAAGGUUACAAAGUGAGCACAAACGCCCUGCCGCCGCAAAAACGUUAGGUCAAGGUGUAGCCAAUGAAAGGGUAAAAAUGGGCUACAUUUUCUACAUCAGAAAACUCCACGAAAACUCUUAUGAAAUCUGAGAGUCCAAGGAGGAUUUAGCAGUAAAUUAAGAAUAGAGUGCUUAAUUGAACCAGGCCAUAAAGCGCGUACACACCGCCCGUCACUCCCCUCAAAUAUAUUUAAGGAACAUCCUAACUAAACGCCCUAAUAUUUAUAUAGAGGGGAUAAGUCGUAACAUGGUAAGUGUACUGGAAAGUGCACUUGGACAGAC